rnacentral:rRNA from 1 species
AUGCGAGUUGCUGCACGUCGUGGGGGUUCAAAUGGCGCGAGCAGCAGCAGGCAGCCGCAGGUAGCGCCGAUUCCGGUGGAUGAUGAUGACGGCAUCGAAGAAGACGAAGAUGAAGAUGAGAACACGCUGAACCAGCAUAGGAAGAAGCCAAAAAGCAAGGCUAAUUGGACCGACGAAAAUACGUACAUUUUGUGUGAGUUAGCUUGUGAGGAGAUAGAGGAUGGCAAUUUUACUGCUAAAGUUUGGACCAGUCAGGGUUACAAAAAUAUUAUGGAGAAAUAUUAUCAAAAGACAAAAUUGUGGCAUCUAGGGAGGGAAGUGAAGAACAAAAUCCAGAACCUGAAGGGUGUGUACAAUGAUUGGGUAUGGUUGCAGCAACAAACCGGAUGCGGCCGCGGCGAACAUGGAGAAGUUACGGCAACUACAGCUUGGUGGGAGAGGGAGAUCAAGAGUAGACCAAAUCUCAAGAAAUUUAGAAAGGGUAACCCUGAGUACAUUGGACUGUUGCAUGAGGUAGCUGUGGAUGGUACUUCUGCUUACGUACCUGGGCGACCAGAGAUCCUGAAUUCAGAGUUGUGCAUGAAAGGUUAA